CUAUGAUCCGUUCGCUUUGGCAAUCGCCAUUUAACUGUAAAAAGGAACGGAAUUUUCUACAAAACGCAAUCUUCCUUUUGAACUUGUGUUCGUCUUGAGCUCAAGUGUAUGUCCAUGUACAUAUGUAUGUGUGAGUGGCAUUCAAAUCUACAUAAAUAUGUACAUACAAAUCUAACUGUUAUUUAACAGAGUUGUCAAACGACUAACAAAUUAUAGGACUUUAACAAAGAAAUAUUGAAAUUGUAAUUUCUCAAGCACUUGCUAAUCAAAUGUUAAAUUUGGAACUGAAACUCAUCAAACCCCAAUAAGAAUUAAUAUAGACACCAUCGAAUAAAACGCAGUAAGAAUUUUCUUAAUUUUGAAAACUAAACCAAAUUUGUUAUUGCACAAAAAAUGGAGUCAAAAUAAAAAUAUUCAACAAAGUAAAAAACAAAAAGUGGUAUUGGAGUUUCACAGCAGCUUGUGGCGAACUCGUGGACAUAUCAACAAUUGCAAAAUAAAACCAUAAUUAAAGGUGAAAAGAAGCCUUACAUACAUAUGGACUUAACGAAAUUAAAGGCCCAUUGGAGAUGGAAUUAAAAUGUGUCAUCACGUUCUGAUAUUGCGACCAAUGGAAACUUAAGGAAAUUUAAUUGGAUGAAAUUCUUAAAAUCUGACAGCAUUUUUUGCGCGUGUUUUAACUUGUGGCCCGGCCAGCAUUUCCUGUCCAUAAUGUGGAGGCUUCUCGAUGGGUUUCCCCCUGUUUUCCACUCCUCGGAAAACUUUCUGCGCGGGGCGACGACAAUCAUAAUCGGCAUUGACAAACGCACAUUGCGUAUACUUAUCGAGUGUAGCGCGCAUAUGCAUUUCCACGAGUAUAUUCAACUGGUAUUACAUGGUCUUCGGACGUAUGUGGUGGACUGGGGGAGAUGGCUUUCAAAACAUUCCCAAAGGUGUCAAGAUUAUGUGCAUAAAUAAUGAGAUUUUCAGACAGCACUGAGUGGGCUAAUUAAUUGAGUUGGCCAAAGGUUAACGCUGGACAAAUACAAACACUACUUCGAAAUGGGGGAAUACUUCUGGAUAAUUUCAGAUUUACCUAAAUUAAAGAAACAGCUCAUGUAUGCAAAUUGCAUAUUCCAUUUGCUCAUCAAUUUUCAAA